UACGGGGGGAGCAAGCGUUGUUCGGAUUUACUGGGCGUAAAGGGCGCGUAGGCGGCCACUGCAAGUCAAUUGUGAAAUCUCCGGGCUUAACUCGGAAAGGUCAACUGAUACUGCAGGGCUAGAGUGCAGAAGGGGCAACUGGAAUUCUCGGUGUAGCGGUGAAAUGCGUAGAUAUUGGGAGGAACACCAGUGGCGAAGGCGGCUCACUGGACCGGAACUGACGCUGAGGCGCGAAAGCGUGGGGAGCAAACGGG
rnacentral:rRNA from 1 species